UUAGCAUAUCAAUAAGCGGAGGAAAAGAAACCAACAGGGAUUGCCCUAGUAACGGCGAGUGAAGCGGCAACAGCUCAAAUUUGAAAUCUGGCACUUGUGCCCGAGUUGUAAUUUGUAGAGGAUGCUUUUGGCGACGCGCCUUCCGAGUUCCCUGGAACGGGACGCCAUAGAGGGUGAGAGCCCCGUCCGGUCGUGCGCCUAGCCUCUGUAAAGCUCCUUCGACGAGUCGAGUAGUUUGGGAAUGCUGCUCUAAAUGGGAGGUAUACGUCUUCUAAAGCUAAAUACCGGCCAGAGACCGAUAGCGCACAAGUAGAGUGAUCGAAAGAUGAAAAGCACUUUGAAAAGAGGGUUAAAUAGUACGUGAAAUUGCUGAAAGGGAAGCGCUUAUGACCAGACUUGGGCGCGGCGGAUCAUCCGGCGUUCUCGCCGGUGCACUCCACCGCCCCAGGCCAGCAUCAGUUCGCGCCGGGGGACAAAGGCUUCGGGAAUGUGGCUCCCUCGGGAGUGUUAUAGCCCGUUGCGUAAUACCCUGGUGCGGACUGAGGUCCGCGCUCUGCAAGGAUGCUGGCGUAAUGGUCAUCAGUGACCCGUCUUGAAACACGGACCAAGGAGUCGUCUUCGUAUGCGAGUGUUCGGGUGUCAAACCCCUACGCGGAAUGAAAGUGAACGUAGGAGAGAGCUUCGGCGCAUCUCCGACCGAUCCUGAUGUUCUCGGAUGGAUUUGAGUAAGAGCAUACGGGGCCGGACCCGAAAGAAGGUGAACUAUGCCUGUGUAGGGUGAAGCCAGAGGAAACUCUGGUGGAGGCUCGCAGCGGUUCUGACGUGCAAAUCGAUCGUCAAACAUGGGCAUGGGGGCGAAAGACUAAUCGAACCUUCUAGUAGCUGGUUUCCGCCGAAU
rnacentral:rRNA from 1 species